rnacentral:tRNA from 2 species
AGGGCUAUAGCUCAGUUAGGUAGAGCACCUCGUUUAUCUACGGUUCGAGUCCGUAUAGCCCUA